UGAACGCUAGCGGCAUGCUUUACACAUGCAAGUCGAACGGCAGCGCGGGGUAACCUGGCGGCGAGUGGCGAACGGGUGAGUAAUACAUCGGAACGUGCCCUGUGAUGGGGGAUAAAUACGCGAAAGCGUAGCUAAUACCGCAUACGACCUACGGGUGAAAGUGGGGGAUCGCAAGACCUCACGUCAUAGGAGCGGCCGAUGGCGGAUUAGUUAGUUGGUGAGGUAAAGGCUUACCAAGGCAACGAUCCGUAGCUGGUCUGAGAGGAGGACCAGCCACACUGGGAUUGAGACACGGCCCAGAUUCUUACGGGAGGC
rnacentral:rRNA from 1 species